CCUCAUUCCACCAAAAAUACACUGGGUGUCUGCCCCUGUGUUAUGGUCAAGAUCGCCAUCUGCUUCCUGAGUUUCAGGAUCACAGCUGACAGAAGCGUAUCACAACCGUGUGUGCGUGUAUAAUUGAGACAAUAAUAAACAUACGGUUUUCCACCUUGACUCUCUCACUACAGAGCAUCAAGACUACAAAGAUACCUUCAGAAAUAUCGCUUGUAUUAUAUGCUGGAUUAUAUUUAAGAGGACACCGCAGUUUAUCCUCUGUUAUUGGGCAUUUGAAUUGUUCCCAACUUUUUGUAAUAAAAAAAACUGUGGUGAC